rnacentral:rRNA from 1 species
UACGUAGGGGGCAAGCGUUGUCCGGAUUCAUUGGGCGUAAAGAGCUCGUAGGCGGCUUGGCAAGUCGGGUGUGAAAACUUCAGGCUCAACCUGGAGCGGCCACUCGAUACUGCCAUGGCUAGAGUCCGGUAGGGGACCACGGAAUUCCUGGUGUAGCGGUGAAAUGCGCAGAUAUCAGGAGGAACACCUGCGGCGAAGGCGGGUUGCUGGGCCGACACUGACGCUGAGGCGCGAAAGCUAGGGGAGCGAACGGG